ensembl:lncRNA
AAGUUUCAGCAGUCAAAAGAGGCCAGAAAUAAAAGGAGUACUUCUGUGGUGCAGAACAGCAGUUGUAGUACCCUGGGACAAGAGAAAACUGUUCUCUUCAGUCUUGUCAGAAGAGGGAAUAAUGGACCUUGCUGCAACAAGGUGGCAGAGCUGGUGCACAAAGAAUCUAUAACUUGCUCAAGGUCGGCCAGAAACCCAUGGCAGAAAGUAGAAUUGCAAUACCCUUACAAUUACGGUUGCAUAGAUGUGUACAAGCUUAUCAAAUUGGACAGAAUUAAGGACACUAUGACAAGGAGAGUUCAGGACACUAAACUAGUUCUUAUGACACACCCUGUGGAUCUACAUUUCACAGAAUCACAGAAUUUUUUCAUCUUCUCUUCAGGAGAAAAGCAUGUGGACUCUCGACUUUUAAUAAGGAUCAAGAUUUCUGAAUGGGCCUUUAAUGUCAUAUUCCAAAGUCCAUCAUACUCCUGAGCAGUGAUCUUUCCAUGGCUUUUUGGUAAACUAUUCCUGUUGAUUUCAUUGUGGAAUCCUUUAGGAGAAUCUCUAUCUCUCCAAAAAUAAAAAACAUUUAAAAUGUAAUUUUUAGUAAGUA